rnacentral:rRNA from 1 species
UGGGGAAUAUUGCACAAUGGGCGAAAGCCUGAUGCAGCGACGCCGCGUGAGGGAUGACGGCCUUCGGGUUGUAAACCUCUUUCAGCAGGGAAGAAGCGAAAGUGACGGUACCUGCAGAAGAAGCGCCGGCUAACUACGUGCCAGCAGCCGCGGUAAUACGUAGGGCGCAAGCGUUGUCCGGAAUUAUUGGGCGUAAAGAGCUCGUAGGCGGUUAGUCGCGUCUGCUGUGAAAACUCGAGGCUCAACCUCGGGCUUGCAGUGGGUACGGGCUGACUAGAGUGCGGUAGGGGUGACUGGAAUUCCUGGUGUAGCGGUGGAAUGCGCAGAUAUCAGGAGGAACACCGAUGGCGAAGGCAGGUCACUGGGCCGCAACUGACGCUGAGGAGCGAAAGCAUGGGGAGCGAACAGGAUUAGAUACCCUGGUAGUCCAUGCCGUAAACGUUGGGCACUAGGUGUGGGGUCCAUUCCACGGAUUCCGUGCCGCAGCAAACGCAUUAAGUGCCCCGCCUGGGGAGUGACGGCCGCAAGGCUAAAAACUC